rnacentral:rRNA from 1 species
AUACGGAGGGGGCUAGCGUUGUUCGGAAUUACUGGGCGUAAAGCGCGCGUAGGCGGUCCGCGUAGUCAGGCGUGAAAGCCCCGGGCUCAACCUGGGAACUGCGUUUGAUACUGGCGGGCUAGAGUCCGGGAGAGGGUAGUGGAAUUCCCAGUGUAGAGGUGAAAUUCGUAGAUAUUGGGAAGAGCACCAGUGGCGAAGGCGGCUACCUGGACCGGUACUGACGCUGAGGUGCGAAAGCGUGGGGAGCAAACAGGAUUAGAUACCCGGGUAGUCC